GGCGAGUGGCGAACGGGUGAGUAAUGCAUCGGAACGUGCCCAUCGAUGGGGGAUAACUGCGCGAAAGCGUUGCUAAUACCGCAUACGACCUACGGGUGAAAGCAGGGGACCGCAAGGCCUUGCGUCGAUGGAGCGGCCGAUGCCGGAUUAGCUAGUUGGUGAGGUAAAGGCUUACCAAGGCGACGAUCCGUAGCUGGUCUGAGAGGACGACCCAGCCACACUGGGACUGAGACACGGCCCAGACUCCUACGGGAGGCAGCAGUGGGGAAUCUUGGACAAUGGGCGCAAGCCUGAUCCAGCAAUGCCGCGUGUGGGAAGAAGGCCUUCGGGUUGUAAACCACUUUUGGCAGGAAAGAAAUCGUCCGGGUUAAUACCCUGGAUGGAUGACGGUACCUGCAGAAUAAGCACCGGCUAACUACGUG
rnacentral:rRNA from 1 species